rnacentral:rRNA from 1 species
UACGUAGGGUGCGAGCGUUGUCCGGAAUCAUUGGGCGUAAAGAGCGUGUAGGCGGUCCUGUAAGUCCGCUGUGAAAGUCAAGGGCUCAACCCUUGAAUGCCGGUGGAUACUGCAGGACUAGAGUCCGGAAGAGGCGAGUGGAAUUCCUGGUGUAGCGGUGAAAUGCGCAGAUAUCAGGAGGAACACCGAUGGCGAAGGCAGCUCGCUGGGACGGUACUGACGCUGAGACGCGAAAGCGUGGGGAGCAAACAGG